GGGGCAGACUGGAUUUGACAGCGGGACGAGAUGGUAUGUAAGCACGCAGUGAGCCUGGGAAGUGGUCACUAUAAUCACGGCUUUCCAACAAUUUAACUGGCAACAACAGCUAUGCUCUCGCUGCCUAACCGAAGUACAGUAGGUUACUGGCCUAAUCUUGGCACAAGGUGCUGAGACGAGACGUCACCCCGAAGCUCCCGCUCCGAAGCUCGCGGACAUGGUGGCGCAGGAAAUCGGAGAUAAGCGCCGCUGGCCUCGCAGCGACGACGAAAACUCACAGAGGAUAAGGCCCUGUCACGAUGGUUCUGGUCAGGACAUGGCACGAAAACCAAAACAGAACUAAGCGUGUAGAAAGCAUAUGGUUUCCCCGUUUGGACGAGGGUUCGAUCCCCUCCUGCUCCACA
rnacentral:tmRNA from 1 species